UGAAUACGAGAUGCUACGGCGUCGAAGCAGUCUAUGUCAUACUUCCAAGAAAAGCUUGCACUGUCAUAAACAAAUAAUGCCUGUACCAUAACCGACACAGGUGGGUAGGUAGAGUAUACUAAGGGGCGCGAGAUAACUCUCUCUAAGGAACUCGGCAAAAUGACUCCGUAACUUCGGGAGAAGGAGUGCCUUAUUUAUAAGGUUGCAAUAACAAGAUCCAAGCAACUGUUUACCAAAAACACAGGUCUCCGCUAAGUCGUAAGACGAUGUAUGGGGGCUGACGCCUGCCCAGUGCCAGAAGGUUAAAGAAGUUGGUUAGCAUCCGCGAAGCUGAUAACUGAAGCCCUGGUGAACGGCGGCCGUAACAAUAACGGUCCUAAGGUAGCGAAAUUCCUUGUCGGGUAAGUUCCGACCCGCACGAAAGGCGUAAUGAUUUGGAUACUGUCUCGGAGAGGGGCUCGGUGAAAUAGACUUGUCUGUGAAGAUGCGGACUACCUGCACCAGGACAGAAAGACCCUAUGAAGCUUUACUGUAACCUGAAAUUGAAAUUGGACUUUACUUGCGCAGUAUAGGUGGGAGGCGUUGAGAAUAUUCUUGCGGGAUUAUUGGAGCCAUCAGUGAGAUACCACUCUUGUAAUGUUAGAUUUCUAACUUUGUAUCAUUAUCUGGUCAAAGAACAGUUUCAGGCGGGCAGUUUGACUGGGGCGGUCGCCUCCUAAACGGUAACGGAGGCGCACAAAGGUUUCCUCUGAACGGGUAGAAAUCGUAUCUAGAGUGUAAAGGCAUAAGGAAGCUUGACUGUGAGACCUACAAGUCGAGCAGGGACGAAAGUCGGUCUUAGUGAUCUGACGGUGCUGAGUGGAAAGGCCGUCACUCAACGGAUAAAAGUUACUCUAAGGAUAACAGGCUGAUCUCCCCCAAGAGUUCACAUCGACGGGGAGGUUUGGCACCUCGAUGUCGGCUCAUCGCAUCCUGGGGCGGUAGUACGUCCCAAGGGUUGGGCUGUUCGCCCAUGAAAGCGGUACGCGAGCUGGGUUCAGAACGUCGUGAGACAGUUCGGUCCAUAUCCGGUGUAGGCGUUAGAAUAUUGAGAGGAGCCUUCUUUAGUACGAGAGGACCGAGAAGGACAUACCUCUGGUGUACCAGUUAUCGUGCCAACGGUAAACGCUGGGUAGCUAUGUGUGGAGUGGAUAACCGCUGAAAGCAUCUAAGUGGGAAGCCCACCUCAAGAUAAGUAUUCAC
rnacentral:rRNA from 1 species